AGCAGCCGCGGUAAUUCCAGCUCCAAUAGCGUAUAUUAAAGUUGUUGUGGUUAAAAAGCUCGUAGUUGAACCUUGGGCCUGGCUGACCGGUCCGCCUCACCGCGUGUACUGGUCCGGCCGGGCCUUUCCCUCUGUGGAACCCCAUGCCCUUCACUGGGUGUGGCGGGGAAACAGGACUUUUACUUUGAAAAAUUAGAGUGCUCCAGGCAGGCCUAUGCUCGAAUACAUUAGCAUGGAAUAAUAGAAUAGGACGUGUGGUUCUAUUUUGUUGGUUUCUAGGACCGCCAUAAUGAUUAAUAGGGACAGUCGGGGGCAUCAGUAUUCAAUUGUCAGAGGUGAAAUUCUUGGAUUUAUUGAAGACUAACUACUGCGAAAGCAUUUGCCAAGGAUGUUUUCAUUAAUCAGGAACGAAAGUUAGGGGAUCGAA
rnacentral:rRNA from 1 species